rnacentral:lncRNA from 1 species
ACUGGGAUUUUAUAAUCUCACCACCCUCCUUUCCUCACAUUUCAGGCUCAGGGAAUUCCAUAGUUAGCUGACUUUGAUAAGGACCUUCAUUUGGACUUGAAUCGGCAAAAGCUGUAGGUUUUCAGCUUCCGAUGCAUUUUGGUCAGUUGGGGGCCCAUGUAUCACCGUAAAAGCAAUUUUAUACUUCAGUUAUCUGAUUUAAAGUAUGUAUGAACAUAUUUAGCUUUUACACCAUGUCUUUGGUGGGUUUUGGUAUUUUCGAAAAAAAAUGAUGAAAAUGCCCCUGUGAGCCAGAAAAUAAUAAUUUAUUAUUUUGAUUUGGAAACGACUUAUGAUUUCUUGAAAUACGAGAUUUAAAAACUGUCGCUCACCGGAGAGAUGCGGAAGCUGAUGUUAAGCCUUGCGGGGUUCCGAUCGGCAUUCGGGGUAAUGAGUGCCUAUCGAGACAUCGCGGAGUUGUCAUGGGUCCGAUGAGAGUUUCGAGUUGUGACAAUUAAAGUGGUAUCAGAGCAUGGUUUAAAGAUCAAAGAUUUUGGUUUUAAAGCUUUGGAUUUUAAAGUUUUUGGUUUUAAAGUUGUUUUAAGAAAUCCACACUGACACUGCGUGGCCUUGGAUUAAGUUAAGUUAAGUCGAAUAGAAUGCAUGAGUCUGCAUAUAGAGACCUAUUUAUUUUCAUAGUGUAUACGAGAUUAAGUAAUUAUUGUUAGACAUUCUCCCCUAGGCUGUGGGAGCAAUGUAAGUAAAUGGCAAGAGAAGAAAAAGGGAAAACUUGAAACGGACUCAAAAAAGGAUCAAGAUGAUAAUGAUCCUAAAGAUGUUUAGUGCCUUGUUGAAGCUUGUAAUACUGUAAUCCUAGGCAGAUGUAAUAUAAGAAGGAUUAUAAUCCCUUGUAUAAAAGGCUUAAGAGUUGACUUUUAUCUUGUAUAAUAUAAACGGAUGAUGGAGUAGUUGUUUAAAUGACAGAAGGAGUAUAAAAAUCUUUUAGUAUGACAAAGGUAGAUUAGUAAUUAAGUAUUGAGGAUGAAUAAUUAUCUUAGUGGCAAGAUCGAUUAUUUUAAAUAAGUACUGAAGGUUGAAAUAGGAAGCCAUUAAUCGUUCCAGCAAUUAUUAGAUUUAACAACGAUUAAACCUUGCAGUAAUAUGAAUUGAUCACCAGUUAACGGUGUUAAGUCAAGGAUUAUAAAUUUGAGUAUGGAGGGAAUUAGAAGGUGAUACCGUAAAAUUUUAAGAUGAGAAAUAUAAUUGGUUACGACUAUGAGAACAGUGGGAUACUAUAAAUAAUGAAUCAUUAGGCGUGUGAUGAAGUUGUGAUCUAUUGAACCAUAUGGGAAGACUGUUCUAAGGUGGGACAUAGGACAUCAGGAUUUUUGGAGAUGUUUAUAGAGGAAGAUAUAAAUUGUAAAGUAUGUUUUCCCCCACAAGUUUUAAUUUAUUCGAGAAAUUAUCAUGGUAAAGAUAUAUGAAUAUUGGUAGUGAAAUAUGCCCUAAGGGAUAACUGUGGCAUAUCAUAUAGAUAAUAUAGAUAUGUUGGGGUCAGUGUCCCGAUCAUGCAUCUAUGAUAGAGAAUUUACUUUGCUAAUUGUGGUAUAGACUCAAAAAGGAGUCAAGCCGUUGAGAACGACUACGGUAGUAACUCCAAAAGUAAAAGAGUUGUUUUAAUUAAGUAGAUUUCAAUGGCUACAUUGAAAUAAAUUACCUUGUGGAGUAUUAAGAUCAAUAAUGUAUUGAUCAAAGUCAAAUCUUAAGAAAUAAAAAGGAUGAGAGAUUAAUGAGAAGGGACAUCAAUGUUAAGUAACGAAUUUGUGAAUAAAGGAUUACGAUGCUGGCAUAGAAAAUGAGUACUAUAAAGGAUUACUAUGAGGAUUUAUAAUUCUUGUAUUAACUCAGUUGAAUGAAAAGUGAUUAAAUGAAGCAACUCUUGUGGUAAACAGCGGAAUAGUGGAGUUAACGUAGAGUCUUGUUUAUAGUCAGUGACUGCAGCACCGAUUAUAGACAAGAGGCUGCGUAGACUCUUUAUCUUGGGAAACUACCUAGUGAAAUCCUAAAUGACAUAAGGACUCAUGAUUGAGAGGAUUAUUGCUGAUCAAAUUCUAAAGGGUAAUAAUAGAUAUAAGUGAAGUAUUCAAGUUGAGUUGGAAAUAAAUACGAGAAGCAAAUCAAGAUUCCCCAUAAAGGAGAUAAUAGGUGAAGUUGAGCAUCGAAUAAAAGAUAAUACCCCGCCUUUUCUUUGAGUUUGAUAAGUGAAAUUUUGAGGAUAAAAUUUUAUUUUAAGGGGGGUAGUGUUGUCAAACCCUAUUCUAUAAAAUAAUUACGACGUCAUUUACAUGCUCAAUAGAAUGGUUGCAUAGUUAGGAAGUUUGAGAAAUCGUUAAAAGACGAUAUUGCUCCUAAUGGUACCAUUAAGUCGAUUAAGUCUCGAACUAGUUCAAAUAGGAAUUUUAAUGUGAAAUUAAGAGUUUCACAGUCCAUGAAUGAUUUAAAAUGGUGAUUUGGAGUUCGAGGAUCAAUUUGGAGUCAAACAGAAAUUUUCACUAUCUAUGGGCAAAAUGGUCGUUUGUUACUUGGGGACAAAAUGGAAAUUUUAGAAAUGAUUUUUUUUGGCCCCAUUUGACUCAUUGGAGUAUGAUUUGAGUAAUUGAAGUAUGAUUUGAGGUUAAUACAAGAAAUGUGUCGUAGAUAAUUUAAGAAUUAAAAGUCAAAUAUUUAAUAUUUGAACCAAUAAGGAAAUGUCAUAUGUCAUGCUUUGAUUAUUUUAUUAUUUCUUUAUAAAAAGGAAAAAAAUCAGCCCAUUUCUCCCAUAGUGAUCAACCAAAUAAGAAGAGAAGAGAAACCAAGGAAGAACAAACCCUAGGUGGGAAAAAUCAAAGAGAAAGUGUUGGAAUUCAAGGAUUUGAUCAAGCAAAGGUAAAAUUUCUUUGGUUUUGCUAGUGAUUUACCUUACCCAUGCAUUUCUCCUUAUUUUCCAUGGUUAAAUUACAUGUUUUCAUGAUGAAUUCAUGGCUGAUCAAAAUGGGUAAGGAGAGAGAAAGAUGUUGGAUUGAUUUGAUUUUAAGAUAUGUUAGUGUUUUUAGUUAGUUUAGCAUAUUUAGAAGCAAAACAACAAGAAAGGAAUCCAUUUUCCCCAUGAAUCUUCAUGGCUGAAUCUUCCUUGAUGUGUGUGGGUGAUGGAUUGUUAUUAUUUCAAAAGAAAUGGCUUAGAAAAUGAUGAAUAAUUGUGAGAAAAUUAAGUAGGAAAAAUCACAGUGUUAGUGCACUGUAAUGGCCGAAUUUUUUCAUGAAGAAAUGGGAAGGUUUUGAUGCUGAAAUUGGUGAUAGUUCAUAAUUUUUGGUGAAUUAAGGUAUUAGAAAUGAAAUGGAGCAAUUUGGAGCCAAAUCGGACACAAUUGUCAUUUAAUUGGGUAAUAGGCCGAAUUAGGUCAGCACCGCAUUUAAGCGGUAGUCGAAUAAGUUGCAUAUCAUAUCAUGCAUAUACACUAAGCCUGAAUUGAUUUUAUAAUGGUCAAGCAUUAAUGUGACAAAUUAUGUAUUGUAUAUUGUGGAUAGGUGGUGAGUAAAUUACACUAGUAAAAGUAUCGAGAUUGUGCUUGAAGACUAGGAUUAUGAGUACAUCGACUCCUAGAACUGUAAAUAGACUUAUUAUCGUCUUAAUUAUCUAGAGUAGUUUUAUACAAUUGUGUGAUUUUAUAGAAAAUGGGUUUAAAUGGUAAAUUGCUACGUUUUAGGAGAAAUUGUGAUUUUAUAAAAUGAUUUUAUAAAUUUUUUUGAAAAUUGAAUACUGGUUUUGAAAAUAGAGUAAUUGGAGAUUGCCUGCUUGUGUUAUAAAUUGUGUUUUAAAUUAUAUGGCUUAUAGCAAUACGUAAGCAUGAAUGGCAAAGUCGGUAUUCGUAUCAAAAUUAUAUAUACUAUGUAUUCAGCCUUGAAAGGCUAGAUUAUGAUAAAUUGCCAUGUCAUGCAGAUAAAGAUUUUAUAAAUUAGGUGGUAGAUAAAAUAAUCUAUAGUCACUGCAGUGGUGGGGGUUUCCAUGGACUGCCUAUGAGAGGGGCACGGUAACUCAGUUAUAUAUUUACCUCUGGGGGGAGAUGUUGGAUGAAGUAUCUCCUGAGGUAAAGAUUUGAGUGCACUUCACGUGGACCACCGCGUGAGAGUGAGACUCAGCCAACGCCAAGGAAAUGUUGUGUGUCAGAUGCGAAAACAUGUUUAUGGGUAUGGGACAUUUAACAACCUUGGCGGUCUCAGUGGGAUAUCUAGAUGAAGGUACCCGCGAGAAUGAUUUUGGCAGGAGCCAAGUUUUGUGAGAUAUAUAAGCCAUGUUGAUUAAUUGAGUAAACUGAAUAUUCAUGUUAUGAAACAUAUAUUGGAAAAUAAUAUUUUAAUUCAUCUCCAUUUACUCGCCUUUAGAUAGUUUAGAUGGUGUAUGUUUACUCACUGGGAUUUUAUAAUCUCACCACCCUCCUUUCCUCACAUUUCAGGCUCAGGGAAUUCCAUAGUUAGCUAACUUUGAUAAGGACCUUCAUUUGGACUUGAAUCGGCAAAAGCUGUAGGUUUUCAGCUUCCGAUGCAUUUUGGUCAGUUGGGGGCCCACGUGUCACUGUAAAAGUAAUUUUAUACUUCAGUUAUCUGAUUUAAAGUAUGUAUGAACAUAUUUAACUUUUACACCAUGUUUUUGGCAGGUUUCGAUAUUUUUGAAAAAAAAUGACGAAAAUG